GACGAACGCUGGCGGCGUGCUUAACACAUGCAAGUCGAACGGAAAGGCCCUGCUUUUGUGGGGUGCUCGAGUGGCGAACGGGUGAGUAACACGUGAGUAACCUGCCCUUGACUUUGGGAUAACUUCAGGAAACUGGGGCUAAUACCGGAUAGGAGCUCCUGCUGCAUGGUGGUGGUUGGAAAGAUCCGGUCGUUGGGGAUGGAUUGGAGGCUUAUCAGCUUGUUGGUGGGGUAGUGGCUUACCAAGGGUUUGACGGGUAGCCGGCCUGAGAGGGGAAACGGGCACAUGGGUACUGCGGUAGGGAGCAGAAGGCAACGUGACGCAAUGGUGGGAAAUAUUGCGGAAUAGGGGGAAGCCUGAUGCGGCGACGCUGCGUGCGGGAUGCCGGGUUACGGGUUGUAAACCGCUUUCGCCUUUAACGUAGCGGUGGUGACGGUAAUUGAUAAAGAAGCACCGGCUAACUACGUG
rnacentral:rRNA from 1 species